rnacentral:rRNA from 1 species
AGAGUUUGAUCCUGGCUCAGGAUAAACGCUGGCGGCGUGCUUAAUACAUGUAAGUCGAACGGGGAUUUUAGCAAUAGAAUUCUAGUGGCGAACGGGUGAGUAACGCGUAGGCGACCUGCCCCGAAGCUUGGGAUAACAGAUCGAAAGGUCUGCUAAUACCGAAUGAUCUCUCAUGGGUUAGAGUCCAGGAGAGGAAAGGCGAAAGCCGCUUUGGGAGGGGCCUGCGUCCCAUCAGCUAGUUGGUAAGGUAACGGCUUACCAAGGCGACGACGGGUAGGGGACCUGAGAGGGUGGCCCCCCACACUGGCACUGAAACACGGGCCAGACACCUACGGGUGGCAGCAGUAGGGAAUAUUGCACAAUGGGCGAAAGCCUGAUGCAGCAACGCCGCGUGCGCGAUGAAGGCCUUCGGGUCGUAAAGCGCUUUUCUGGGAGAAGAGGAAGGACAGUAUCCCAGGAAGAAGGCUCGGCUAACUACGUGCCAGCAGCCGCGGUAAAACGUAGGAGCCAAGCGUUAUCCGAAUUCACUGGGCGUAAAGCGCGUGCAGGCGGUUUGGUAAGUUGGAUGUGAAAUCUCCCGGCUCAACUGGGAGAGGACGUUCAAUACUGUCAGACUAGAGGGUGACAGAGGGAGGUGGAAUUCCCGGUGUAGUGGUGAAAUGCGUAGAUAUCGGGAGGAACACCAGUGGCGAAAGCGGCCUCCUGGGUCGCACCUGACGCUCAGACGCGAAAGCUAGGGGAGCAAACGGGAUUAGAAACCCCGGUAGUCCUAGCUGUAAACGAUGUAGACUUGGUGUUGGUGGUGUAAAAAGCCAUCAGUACCGGAGCCAACGCGAUAAGUCUACCGCCUGGGGACUACGGCCGCAAGGUUAAAACUCAAAGGAAUUGACGGGGGCCCGCACAAGCAGCGGAGCGUGUGGUUUAAUUCGAUUUUACGCGAAGAACCCUACCCGGGUUUGACAUACAGGUGGUAGGGAAACGAAAGUGGACCGACCCUUCGGGGAGCCUGAACAGGUGCUGCAUGGCUGUCGUCAGCUCGUGUCGUGAGAUGUCCGGUUAAGUCCGGUAACGAGCGCAACCCUCGCCACAUGUUACAAGUGCCAUGUGGGACUGCCGGUAUCAAGCCGGAGGAAGGUGAGGAUGACGUCAAGUCAGCAUGGCCUUUAUGUCCGGGGCUACACACACGCUACAAUGGCCAGCACAAUGGGUAGCAAAGCCGCGAGGUAGAGCAAAUCCCGCAAAGUUGGUCUCAGUUCAGAUUGCAGGCUGCAACCCGCCUGCAUGAAGAUGGAGUUGCUAGUAACCGCGCGUCAGCAUUAGUGCGGUGAAUACGUUCCCGGGCCUUGUACACACCGCCCGUCACGUCAUGGGAGCUGGCAACACCUGAAGCCGGUAUCCUAACCGUAAGGAGGGAGCCGUCGAAGGUGGGGCUGGUGACUGGGACGAAGUCGUAACAAGGUA